rnacentral:rRNA from 1 species
AUUGAACGCUGGCGGCAGGCCUAACACAUGCAAGUCGAGCGAGCGGCGGACGGGUGCGUAAUGUCUGGGAAACUGCCUGAUGGAGGGGGAUAACUACUGGAAACGGUAGCUAAUACCGCAUACCAUCAGCUGAGCCCAGAUGGGAUUCGCUUGUAGGUUGGGUAAUGGCUCACCUAGGCGACGAUCCCUAGCUGGUCUGAGAGGAUGACCAGCCAAACUGGGACUGAGACACGGCCCAGACUCCUACGGGAGGCAGCAGUGGGGAAUAUUGCACAAUGGGCGAAAGCCGGAUGCAGCCAUGCCGAGUGUAUGAAGAAGGCCUUCGGGUUGUAAAGCACUGUCAGCGGGGAGGCGUUACUCGCAGAAGAAGCACCGGCUAACUCCGUGCCAGCAGCCGCGGUAAUAC